CGCAUAUUGCGCCUAUUAGUAUUCUAGUAGGCAUGCCUGUUCGAGCGUCAUUUCAACCCUCAAGCGCUGCUUUGCUUGGUGUUGGAGUUUCUAUAAAUUUAAGUUUAUAGGCUCUAAAAGUCAGUGGCGGGCUAGUUAGUGCUUCGAGCGUAGUAAUUUAUCUUCUCGCUUAGGACGCCUAGCUGGUGCUAGCCAUCAACUAUGUUUUUAUACCCAAGUUUGACCUCGGAUCAGGUAGGAAUACCCGCUGAACUUAA
rnacentral:misc_RNA from 1 species